rnacentral:rRNA from 1 species
AUUGAACGCUGGCGGCAGGCCUAACACAUGCAAGUCGAGCGGGGUUUUCGGACCUAGCGGCGGACGGGUGAGUAAUGCGCAGGAAGCUACCCGAUAGAGGGGGAUACCAGUUGGAAACGACUGUUAAUACCGCAUAAUGUCUACGGACCAAAGUGUGGGACCUUCGGGCCACAUGCUAUCGGAUGCGCCUACGUGGGAUUAGCUAGUUGGUGAGGCAAUGGCUCACCAAGGCGACGAUCUCUAGCUGGUUUGAGAGGAUGAUCAGCCACACUGGAACUGAGAGACGGUCCAGACUCCUACGGGAGGCAGCAGUGGGGAAUAUUGGACAAUGGGCGCAAGCCUGAUCUAGCCAUGCCGCGUGUGUGAAGAAGGCCUUCGGGUUGUAAAGCACUUUCAGCGAGGAGGAAGGGUGGUGUGUUAAUAGCACAUCAUUUUGACGUUACUCGCAGAAGAAGCACCGGCUAACUCUGUGCCAGCAGCCGCCGUAAUAC